rnacentral:ribozyme from 16 species
AAUCGUGUACGAAAUGAUCGCAUGAGGGAAGAAAGACGAGAAACAGAAUGCCAUAAGUCGUAUACAUGCGAGCACUUUUCGAACUUUCCGUUUCCUUCUCUGUCUCUUUUUUCUGUUUCUUUCUUUCUCUCUCUC